GACGAACGCUGGCGGCGUGCUUAACACAUGCAAGUCGAGCGGUAAGGCCCUUUCGGGGGUACACGAGCGGCGAACGGGUGAGUAACACGUGGGUGACCUGCCCUCAGCUCUGGGAUAAGCCUGGGAAACUGGGUCUAAUACUGGAUAUGACUCCACGGUGCAUGUCGUGGGGUGGAAAGCCUUGUGCGGCUGAGGAUGGGCCCGCGGCCUAUCAGCUUGUUGGUGGGGGAUGGCCUACCAAGGCGACGACGGGUAGCCGGCCUGAGAGGGCGACCGGCCACACUGGGACUGAGACACGGCCCAGGACUCCUACGGGAGGCAGCAGUGGGGAAUCUUGCGCAAUGGGCGAAAGCCUGACGCAGCGACGCCGCGUGAGGGAUGACGGCCU
rnacentral:rRNA from 1 species